rnacentral:rRNA from 1 species
UACAGAGGGUGCAAGCGUUAAUCGGAAUUACUGGGCGUAAAGCGUGCGUAGACGGUUGCGUAAGUCAGAUGUGAAAGCCCCGGGCUCAACCUGGGAAUUGCAUUUGAGACUGCGUAGCUAGGGUGCGGAAGAGGGAAGCGGAAUUUCCGGUGUAGCGGUGAAAUGCGUAGAUAUCGGAAGGAACACCAGUGGCGAAGGCGACUUUCUGGUCUGUAACUGACACUGAGGCGCGAAAGCGUGGGGAGCAAACAGG